rnacentral:rRNA from 1 species
UCAAGUUAUUAAGGGUGCAGGGCGGAUGCCUUGGCACUAGGAGCCGAUGAAGGACGUGAUAAGCUGCGAUAAGCUUCGGGGAGUUGCACGUAAACUUUGAUCCGAAGAUUUCCGAAUGAGGAAACUCACUUAGAGUAAUGUCUAAGUAUCAUUAAGUGAAUACAUAGCUUAAUGAGGGGAACUCAGGGAACUGAAACAUCUAAGUACCUGAAGGAAGAGAAAGAAAUUCGAUUCCGUAAGUAGCGGCGAGCGAACGCGGAUUAGCCCAAACCAAUAAAGUUUUCUUUAUUGGGGUUGCGGACAUAUCAUAACGAAGAGGUAUCGUAAUUGAAGAGGUUUGGAAAGACCCACCACAGAAGGUAAUAGUCCUGUAUGUUAAACGAGAAGACUUCAGAUAUGAUCCAGAGUACCACGGGACACGUGAAACCCUGUGGGAAGCAGGAGGGACCACCCUCCAAGGCUAAAUACUACCUAGUGACCGAUAGCGUAUAGUACCGUGAGGGAAAGGUGAAAAGAACCCCGGGAGGGGAGUGAAAUAGAACCUGAAACCCUGCACUUACAAGCUGUGGAAGCACAUUUCUUGUGUGACCGCGUACUUUUUGUAGAACGGGCCAACGAGUUACGUUAAGUAGCAAGGUUAAGCACUUAAGGUGCGGAGCCGUAGCGAAAGCGAGUUUUAACUGAGCGUUCAGUUACUUGACGUAGACCCGAAACCGGGCGACCUACCCAUGAGCAGGAUGAAGCGAAAGUAAAAUUUCGUGGAGGUCCGAACCCACGAGCGUUGAAAAGCUCGGGGAUGACUUGUGGGUAGCGGUGAAAUUCCAAUCGAGCCCGGAGAUAGCUGGUUCUCCCCGAAAUAGCUUUAGGGCUAGCCUCAAGGUGAGAGAUACGGAGGUAGAGCACUGAAUGUCCUAGGGGGUAUUGCACCUAUCGAAGACUAUCAAACUCCGAAUGCCGUCAUCUUAUACUUGGGAGUCAGACUGUGGGUGAUAAGAUUCAUAGUCGAAAGGGCAACAGCCCAGAUCGUCAGCUAAGGUCCCUAAAUGUAAGUUAAGUGGUAAAGGAUGUGGGAUUGCACAGACAACCAGGAUGUUGGCUUAGAAGCAGCCACUCAUUCAAAGAGUGCGUAAUAGCUCACUGGUCGAGUGAUCCUGCGCCGAAGAUUUCCGGGGCUAAAACUUACUACCGAAGCUACGGCAUCAGUAAUGAUGGGUAGGGGAGCUUCCCAUACGGGUUGAAGCAUGACCGUAAGGACAUGUGGACAGUAUGGGAGUGAGAAUGUUGGCAUGAGUAGCGAGAUGUGGGUGAGAAUCCCACAGGCCGUAAACCCAAGGUUUCCAGGGGAAGGUUCGUCCGCCCUGGGUUAGUCGGGACCUAAGCUGAGGCCGAAAGGCGUAGGUGAUGGACAACAGGUUGAUAUUCCUGUACUACCGAUAACCGUUUGAGAGAAGGGAUGACACAGUAGGAUAAGCUAAGCACACUGUUGGUUAUGUGUGCCCAAGCAUUGAGGCAGUCAAAGUAGGCAAAUCCGCUUUGAUAAUGCUGGGAUGUGAUGGGGAGCGAAAUUUAGUAGCGAAGUAGCUGAUUUCACACUGUCAAGAAAAGUCUCUAUCGAGGUUAAAGGUACCCGUACCGCAAACCGACACAGGUGGGUGAGGAGAGUAUCCUAAGGCCAGCGAGAGAACUGUUGUUAAGGAACUCGGCAAAAUGACCCCGUAACUUAGGGAUAAGGGGUGCCACCAUCAGGUGGCCGCAGAGAAUAGGCCCAAGCGACUGUUUACCAAAAACAUAGGUUUCUGCUAAGUCGCAAGACGAUGUAUAGGAGCUGACGCCUGCCCGGUGCUGGAAGGUUAAGGGGAUCUGUUAGAGCAAUCGAAGCAGUGAACUUAAGCCCCAGUAAACGGCGGCCGUAACUAUAACGGUCCUAAGGUAGCGAAAUUCCUUGUCGGGUAAGUUCCGACCCGCACGAAAGGCGUAACGAUUUGGGCACUGUCUCAACAACAGACUCGGUGAAAUUGUAAUUCCGGUGAAGAUGCCGGAUACCUGCGACAGGACGGAAAGACCCCAUGGAGCUUUACUGUAGCUUGACAUUGGGUCUUGGUACUACAUGUACAGGAUAGGUGGGAGGCUUUGAAACCAGGACGCCAGUUUUGGCGGAGCCAUCCUUGGGAUACCACCCUUGUAGUACUGGGACUCUAACCAUAGGCCAUGAAUCUGGUCUUGGGACACUGUCAGGUGGGCAGUUUGACUGGGGCGGUCGCCUCCCAAAAGGUAACGGAGGCGCUCAAAGGUUCUCUCAGUACGGUCGGAAAUCGUACGUAGAGUGUAAAGGCAAAAGAGAGCUUGAUUGCAAGACAUACAGGUCGAGCAAGGAUGAAAAUCGGACUUAGUGAUCCGGUGGUUCUGCGUGGAAGGGCCAUCGCUCAACGGAUAAAAGCUACCCUGGGGAUAACAGGCUUAUCUCCCCCAAGAGUCCACAUCGACGGGGAGGUUUGGCACCUCGAUGUCGGCUCAUCACAUCCUGGGGCUGUAGUAGGUCCCAAGGGUUGGGCUGUUCGCCCAUUAAAGUGGUACGCGAGCUGGGUUCAGAACGUCGUGAGACAGUUCGGUCCCUAUCCGUCGCAGGCGUAGGAAAUUUGAGAAGACCUGUCCUUAGUACGAGAGGACCGGGAUGGACGUACCUCUGGUGUACCAGUUGUCCUGCCAAGGGCAUGGCUGGGUAGCUAUGUACGGAAUGGAUAAGCGCUGAAAGCAUCUAAGCGCGAAGCCAACUUCAAGAUAAGAUUUCCCACCGCAAGGGUAAGACCCCAGAAAGACUAUCUGGUUGAUAGGUCGAAGGUGUAAGUGCAGCAAUGUAUUUAGCUUAUCGAUACUAAUAGGUCGAGGACUUGACCAA